UACGUAGGGUGCAAGCGUUAAUCGGAAUUACUGGGCGUAAAGCGUGCGCAGGCGGUUAUGUAAGACAGGUGUGAAAGCCCUGGGCUUAACCUAGGAAUUGCGCUUGAGACUGGAUAGCUUGGAGUGCGGCAGAGGGAGGUGGGAAUUCCACGUGUAGCAGUGAAAUGCGUAGAGAUGUGGAGGAACACCGAUGGCGAAGGCAG
rnacentral:rRNA from 1 species